GCAAUAGAAUAGGCUUGCAAGGGCGGUCGGGCUACCUCUCUAUAGAAGGGAGGGAUGCCAGGUGGAAGUUUAUCAAGCGUUAACGCUAAUGAUCUCAUUUGCGACUUUAAUUGUCCUGAUACUUUCCUUCCAUAAACGCAAAUAGACCGCCCCAUGCCAAGGAAUCGGUCUAUUUGUGCCCAUUCUUACAGCCUGCCGCCCUUAAAAGCGGCUAUUGCCCGGGGCUGUGCCCUGCAAGCACGGC
rnacentral:sRNA from 1 species